rnacentral:rRNA from 1 species
UUCAAUUUUUGAAGUUUCUCUAGCUUUUUUGUUGGGUGAAAUCAGUAUAAGAAGCUCUUUCUUCUUUAAAAAUUAGUAGGAACUAAAAAACUUUGACUUAAAACCAGGAUUAGAUACCCUGUUAUUCUCAGUUAUUCUUAAACAGGGUAGUAAAAGUUGUUCUUCAAACCCAAAGAUUUUGGCGGCACUUUAUCCAAAUAGAGGAGCUUGUCCCUUAAUCGAUAGUCCUCGUUUUAUCUUUCCUUCAUUUGUAAAGCUUGUAUACCGCCGUUGUCAGAUUACUUUUAGAGAAUGUUUUCAAGUUAAAAGACUUUAUAACUUCAGGUCAAGGUGCAGUUUAUAUGGGGGUGGAGGUGAGCUACAGUUUUCUUUAGAAAAUACGGAUUCUAAGCUUUGAAGCUAGCUGAAGGUGGAUUUACUAGUAAAGUAA